UACGUAGGCAGCGAGCGUUGUUCGGAGUUACUGGGCGUAAAGAGUGCGUAGGCGGUUUUCUAAGUUUGGUGUGAAAUCUCCCGGCUCAACUGGGAGGGUGCGCCGAAGACUGGAAGGCUAGAGUGUGGGAGAGGUAAGCGGAAUUCCUGGUGUAGCGGUGAAAUGCGUAGAUAUCUGGAGGAACACCGGUGGCGAAGGCGACAUCCUGGACCGGUAUUGACGCUGAGGCGCGAAAGCCAGGGGAGCAAACGGG
rnacentral:rRNA from 1 species